rnacentral:tRNA from 1 species
GCUCGUCUAGCUUAGUCGGUAGAGCGCAAGGCUCUUAACCUUGUGGUCCUGGGUUCAAGCCCCAUGGUUGGCG